UAGCUACUCCCUCCGUCCGGAAAUACUUGUCGGAGAAAUGGAUAAAAAUGGACGUAUCUAGAAUUAAAAUACAUCUAGAGACAUCCAUUCCUCCAACAAGUAUUUCCGAACGGAGGGAGUACUUU
rfam:Triticum aestivum genome assembly, contig: Triticum_aestivum_CS42_TGACv1_scaffold_157905_2DL